UGGGGAAUAUUGCACAAUGGGCGCAAGCCUGAUGCAGCCAUGCCGCGUGUGUGAAGAAGGCCUUCGGGUUGUAAAGCACUUUCAGCGGGGAGGAAGGCGAUAAGGUUAAUAACCUUGUCGAUUGACGUUACCCGCAGAAGAAGCACCGGCUAACUCCGUGCCAGCAGCCGCGGUAAUACGGAGGGUGCAAGCGUUAAUCGGAAUUACUGGGCGUAAAGCGCACGCAGGCGGUCUGUCAAGUCGGAUGUGAAAUCCCCGUGCUCAACCUGGGAACUGCAUUCGAAGCUGGCAGGCUAGAGUCUUGUAGAGUGGGGUAGAAUUCCAGGUGUAGCGGUGAAAUGCGUAGAGAUCUGGAGGCAUACCGGUGGCGAAGGCGGCCCCCUGGACAAAGACUGACGCUCAGGUGCGAAAGCGUGGGGAGCAAACAGG
rnacentral:rRNA from 1 species